rnacentral:lncRNA from 1 species
GAUCAAGAAUAUUGUACAAUGCAGUGUCUAAAAGCAGCAACGGGACCAUUCAGUGCCCCAAAAGAAAAGAGCUACGACAGACAAAAAGAACCAAGAUAUGCAGUUAGGACCAAAAGACUUGUCACAUUUUGGCUAACAUCUCUCUGCAACAAAAUUAUGGACCCCUGGUAUGAAAAGCUUGUUUCACGGUAGUGCUACUGUUGAUGAUAAGGAGGCAUUGCAGUAGAAUACGGUAUGCCAUUCCGUCCAUGCAUUGGAAUCACCGCAGAACCCAUCUGUGAAGGCACACUACCAGGUGGCAUGUAAGGGUGAUUAUGCAUCUGCAUUGGCAUUCCUGGAUUUGCUGUGGCGGCAGCAGAGUUCCAGCCUGCAGAAUGCUGAGGCGGAGCAACACCUGGAGCUGGAGCGUAAUGGGCAGGGGCACUGUAUGGAUGAACACCUGGACCUCCUAUCUGAGGUGGCUGCUGCCCAAAGAUUGAAGGUUGAGAAUUCAACAUAGGGGU